UACGGAGGGAGCUAGCGUUGUUCGGAAUUACUGGGCGUAAAGCGCGCGUAGGCGGCUUUGUAAGUUAGAGGUGAAAGCCCGGGGCUCAACUCCGGAACUGCCUUUAAGACUGCAUCGCUUGAAUCCGGGAGAGGUGAGUGGAAUUCCGAGUGUAGAGGUGAAAUUCGUAGAUAUUCGGAAGAACACCAGUGGCGAAGGCGGCUCACUGGACGCGUAUUGACGCUGAGGUGCGAAAGCGUGGGGAGCAAACAGG
rnacentral:rRNA from 1 species